UGAGCUGCACUGAGCGUUUGGUUUACGCAGAAAGGGGGCCCUCGCGCCUCGGAAGAUGCGCGGUGCUGUCUUUUGCGCACGCGCGCUACUGGGGGAAAAAAUCCGUUAACUAGUGCGCGCAGUAACUCGAGCAUGCGCCAUUCUUCCAGCCGGGGCAGCUAAAGCGCCUUAUAUCGGCUUGUUUGCGCCGGUAGCGUCGCAGGGGCUGAAGGCAGGCACUCUUAACUGAGAUUCCUGCAUUGCAGGGGUUGGACUAGAUGACCCUCAGAUCCCUUCCAGCUCUAUGAUUCUACACGCCCCUCCAGCAGUUCCCAUGGCUUCGUCCAGCUUCACAUCUUUCCCUCUUGAAGGGUUGUUGCCCUGUUCAAGACGAAGCAAGAAGUAUUCAUAUGGUAAAUAUAAACACCCCAGAUUGAUCAGACUUUCCCCUUGGCAGGGUGCCAUUGAGACUCCCAGUGUGUGUUUAUGUGUGGAGGAGGUGCCAGAAAGGGUCUUUUGACUCCUGUGAAAUAAAGCCUAGUUUUGCCCCUGCCCUUGGGCAUUUGGGGCUUUUCUAAGCUUCAGCAGUCAGAAUGCUACUAGCCUAGAGAUGGAAGGAAGAAGUACCAACAAAAGAAGA